CCCAGCAUAGUCUAGGAUUGCUAAGAGAGUUUUCCAGAUUCACCUGGGCAGGGUGAGCACUGGGAUCUACUAUGUCCCUCCCUGUCUGUGUGUCCCUGGCCACAGCUCCCCAUCCCCUGCCACUACGUGCAGGGACAGGAACCACGCAGAGCAAUCCAUGAAGUGCUUUCAAAUCCAUGGCCCCUCCUGACCCCACCUACUCAUGGUCUCUGACAGCAGCCUGUAAUGCCCUGCGCUUCAGAGGAAACUCUACUUACUCCAAGAAUAGUAAUGUGGGCCGUGGGAAGCAAUGCGCUGGCGUGAGCUGUAUGCCAUGGACGGCUGAGGCACAGGGAGGAGAAGAUGUGAACCAAAAGGCUCUGCCCUGAAUAAAGUCAGGCGCAUCCUUUGAUCCUCUGUGUCCGACUGGUUUCUCUUCUGAGUCUUAGCAAACAACCUGAAAGUGCUUCUGGAGACAACGUCUCUGCCUGCCAAGAUGUCAUCGCCUUGCUCUGUGCUCUAGGACUGCCACGGUUCUCUCCAGCCCCUUUAGGCAUUCCUGCUUGAAGAUUAACCCUACAGUCUCAUGCUGGACAACUUAAUUCAGCUGAGGAGAAACAGCAGUACAUGACAGAUAAGAAAAGCCUGUUUUCCUCUUACGCUUCGGAUUUUGGAUCAAUGCUAGAGGCUGCAAAACUAACCCAAGGAAGGAAAAAGCCUUUGAUUAGACAAUCUGAGUGGUAAAGAAAAGUAUUGAACGGAAAGCGCUGUCAAUGAGCUACUCAAUGCAACAAUUAGAAGGUGAAACUUUUUCUUUCCCUUUCUAAGCAAGACACACCUCUGCUCUGCUGGAAGGAGGUGGGUGGGAGGAAUUUUUCUUGUUCUGGUGCCCAAUUGUCUCCUGGACCUUUUCCAUUUCAAAGAAGAGGGUGACCUAUAAAACUGUCCCACUUUCACAUCACCCAGUGCAGACUAGGAAACUAUCUGACAUUUAAAGGGACACUCCUGGUGUUUCCAGUAAGGAGCUUUCUGUGGCAAUAAAUGAAUAAAGAGGUGCAGAAAAAUGAUAUCUGUGCAAAUGUCCCUGGAAUGUUUCUCUUUGAAGAGUCGUUCCAACUCUGCUGGCAAUGUGGAUGGUCGUACAGCUGAAGUUUUGCUCUGACAGGGGAUCCCACUGUUCCAUGAGCAUGAUGUGAGAAUAAAACGUGAGGUGGUUGGUUCAAAGUGCCAACAUGCCUGGACUGUGCCUACUCCAAUCCAGGACAGACCAUGAGCUGCUUUUGCUGUGGUUCUGCAGGGACAAAAGAUUCUGACCUCUUUCGAUGUUAGGUGGAGUUUUUGUUUGCACGUAAGACUUUGGUGGUGGUGUCUGAUCUUCACAUGGGGUUGGAGCUCAGCAGUCGUUUCUGUUCUCAGCUCCACCCAGAAGAACCUCCCCCUGUGUUACUCACUUGAUGGGUGAACUCCCAUCAAGGUGCAAACCCUUAAGAUGAGCUCUCUGAAUUGCUUCAUUAUUUCCCUGUGGAGUCAGCCAGGAAUCCAGCAAGGACACCAACUGCAGUGACACUGAUGCUCAUUCUACAGGGACCCAAGCCAAGAGUGGCUCCUUAUUCCACAGAAGUUGUUGAGCUGCUGCUGAAGGAUAACAAAUAGUGGUCAACAGUGCACUGACCUUCCUCUGAAAUCAUGAUCCCAAGGCAAAGAGCUCCAUUUAUCCAGAGCACACUAGUGCCAAUUGGUUAUUCUGCAUCACCUUCAAUCAAAUCUUGCUAGGAGAGCACCUCCUAGUGAUUUCGCUGUCCUUGGAUGGAUGCAGGCAUGCAGAGAAAACACUUGCCUUCAUCUCACAAGAUGCAAGAUGUGAGCAGAGCAUGGACUGCUGAUGAAUACAUCCUCAAGAUAGAGUGUAUAAGAAGUCCACAUCAUCCUAUUUGACAGGCUGUACAGACUGUCAUGGCUUUGAAAGUACCCUAUGGGAUGAAAGGUUUUCUCCAGAAAAUCUUGGCUGAGAGGUGUUGAAAGGCAGCUGGGUAAUCUACAAUAGCUCUGACAAGUAUCAGCAAGGUGGAUGUGUGCAGGGCUGGUUAGUUCCCCUGGGUCACUCAGGGCUUUGCAAUCCCUGCAGAGUUCUGCAAGAGAGGAUUUUUACUGUGUCUAUGGGGAGAGGGUGCAGAGAGGCCGAAGAAUGGGGGAAGAGAAGUUUAGGAGCAUCACCACUGUCCUCUACUUUACCCCAAUUGAUUUCACCCUUUUCCUUUGGUUCACAACUUUGUUUGUCAUUUACCUGCAGGUGUUAAACCUCUCCUCUCCCCUCUGUUGUCACUUCCCCGUUUUGUGGGUAAAAAUCUCUGUUCUGAGGUGCCAGAACAACUCAGCUUGUGUUUACGCAUGGCCACAUGCAGGAUCGAUAUCUGCAGGUGUGUGAACUGUGCAUGCAAGUGGAUGCAGAUGGUCUGUGAUGUGCGUGGAUGGGAGCAUGCACUAAAACAGCAGGGCUCAUCUCCAUGCCCUCUUUUGUAACUCAUUCUUCAGCCAAAACUCCCUGACCUAUACUUGUGACUUAAUGAUAAUCUCCACAAGAGCCUAUUAUGAUUAUAUAAAUAAACCCUUUCAACAUUAUUACACUGCACAGAGGAGAAACAGAAAGUGAUGAACCACAGAGGACUGGGGGGAAGAAAUAGUUGUGCAAAUAGUCAAAGAUAUCUAACUGAUCAUAAAAGGAGUAAUGAUCCUAAAUUGUAUGCAAACAAAUAGGAUAUUCUUUAAGAUACCUUAUUUGUUAAUAGUAGUAAUCAGGAGGAUGAUCUCCCAGGUAGUCUCUGGAUAGAGUUCUCUUGAAGCAUUUUAUAGCCCAAAUGGUAGUGCUGCAGAUCACACCCAGGCUUAACUUUUCUUACUGGGUGGAUACCAAGAGCUACUCAGAGCUGGUGGUCAAUACAUCUGUUUGCCUGCCUUUUGAAAAGUACUGAUAUGCCAGAAUGCCUUGGCUUUCAAUUAACUGUUUUGGCUCAGUAUUGAAGUGUGACCAGCUUGCAUGGACUGGAUGGUAUAGAAGACUUUUUUCUACAGGCUGUCUUUGAAAUCCAUAGUCUGUUCUCUGGUUGGGGUCCUACAGUGGGGCCUAUCUGUGGGCUUUUUGAAGAUGAGGGCCAUGUAACACCUCAAAGAGUGCUUGGGUGAGGCAGGAGAGAAGUGGACAGCUUCCAUGUGUCCUCUCUCUUCAAAGUGAAGUGAAAUUCUGCAUCCCAGAUGGAGUCUGUUACCACCCCCCCUGGUCCUGGUGCCUUCCAUGUGCUCUUUGUCCAUUGCUCUGGUCUCCAGUGCCUGCCAUGUAAAGCCUCUGUGCCACGGUUUGCUGUGUUGUGGCCAGCAACAGUGAGUGACCAAGGCCAUCAGGUCCUGCUUCCUGCUCCUGCACCCCUACCUGCCACUGAGCUGCUUCUGGAACCUAAGUGGAAUCAAUAUACAACAGCACACAGCUUUAUUAAACACAUCUAUUCUCUCUGGAUGACUGCAGAAGACUUCAUUCUCCCUCCCUGUUUGUAAGACCUGGUGUGGAUUUUUUUCUUCUUUCCUCACCCCACAGUGUGGCGCUCACUGUGGUUCUCCUGAAGUUCCAGACCGAGAUGUAAGGUGUUUUAUACCAUGUUUGGUAACAUGGUAUAAUCCUGACUUGAACUGGCCACAGCAGCAGCUCAGCUGCUUGCCCCACACCAGCACCUUUGUCCUCAGCAGCAGGCUUUGUCCCCAGGACCAGUUGGAAAACCAAGACCUGGUGCCUGAAUGCCGUGGUGGAUGCAAACCUGGAGGCAUUAGGUUGCAAGAGGAGUAGCUGAGUGAGAGAGCUGUUCCCUGAGCCAGCCGCAAAGGGCUCAUUAGCCAGCAGCUAUUUAGGCAGUGGCACUGCAGCAACUCUCUGCUGGAAAAAGCUGAUUUGUGGCGGUUUCCUCUCCACGCCGAGUGUGCACUGAUCAGGAAUAUAAAUACCGUUAAUCCCCAGCGUUAAUACCAGCAGCUUUGAUCAUCUUUCCCCAUUAUCACUCCCUUGCUGUUAAUAAAAGUGAUAACCAUGGGGGAGAAGGGAAUGGGGACUGGACUAAUCAGUUUGCAGUUGGCGAUGCUGUUGGGAAAACGAGACACCCAAGGCAACCUGGCCUCAGUGACAGUGCCUCUGGACAUCAAGAGGGAGCUCAGGAACAAAUUUCUGCAAGGGACUUUCUACAAAUUCCCAAGUCCUAUUCCAAGCUGAUGAUGGCUUUGCUUCUCCAGGAUGCAAAGAUGCUGGCCUGUUUGCUCUGGAAAAACUUUCAGCCAAGGCUUUGGCAGUCAAAAUUGACUUUGGAGACUGACUUUGCUUCUUGAACUGUUCUGGACCUGUUUCUUCCCAGCCAUGGAUUGGAUGCACCGUUCGUGUGAUAAACCACAGCAAUCCAACAGCAAUCCCACACUUACACAUCUCCCCUAGAAGGACGGUAAUUCUCAUGGAGCACAGAGGAUGCCUGCGUUCCUGUGUCCGUGAGGAGGCCUGCCUCCAUUCGUCAGUGGAGCUCACCACUUGGGAGUCUGCUUGGAUGAUUAUCUCCAUCUGACAGUGAGUUGCAGUAGAAAGAAGAAUGAACCCUACGGCACCUCCUGUACAGGGAGCAGCUCCUGCGUAGGACGUCUGUGGCUUUGUGAUUCUUGAGAGGCAUCUGUGCAGAUCCGGUCCUUGGUCCUCAGUAACAACACAGGAUCCCAUACAGCAAGGAUGAGGCAAGAGAUGACAGCUCACCACACAAGACCAAUCUGGGUGACAAAGCAGAGUCCUCUCUUUGCUUAUCCCCCGCCUUCCUGUGCAGCAGGACUGCCAGAAAUCACAGCGGUGCAAUACUCAGCAGGAUGACAAGGAACCUGCAGUCCAGAAGAGAAGCAGCCCUGACAAUUCCUCUGUUCCUGCUGCUCAGUGAAACGGUUGCGUGUGGGAUGCGAUCAGCGCUCUGCAGCUGCUCCUACAUUAGUGUGCAUCGGAGGCACUCGAUGGGUGCCAUUUGACCGUCGCUUCUGCGCAAUACCUUGUAAAAGCAGCAGCUUUUCUGGGAUUACCUCCCCAUUGCAUUGCUUCUCGUGCCUGCAGCUCACCAAUGUGUUUCAGUCUGCGGUCACUGCAAAGCCUGCGUAGCGCAGUGGUGCUUUGGAGACUCUUGUUUGCAAACCAAUCAGUUAAAUUAAGAAGCUUGAUUCUCAGUGCUGUGUGAUGACAUCUCCAAUUUAGCUGGUGCCCCAGUGAGGAAGUAAACAAACAAUAAAAGUGUCACUAUUCCUUCUAGUUCCAUUAGACAAACAAGAAGUUUAUUCAGCGUUUUGGCAAAUGAAAAUUUAAGCAAACUGUCAAGGGAGACAUUUUCCACAUCAAAUGUUUUCUGAGAGGGGAUUAUAACAAGAAAGAGCUAUCACCCACCAUGUCAUUAUAAACAAAGGCUCCUGUGAACCCCUUUUAUUAAAGAUUAGCAGCACUGAUUACAGACAUGCCAGGCUGAGCCAAAGGCAAAUUAGAAUAUCUUUUGCCAUGGGAUAACUUAUGCUACCUUCUUGUGCACUGAGAUGAUUGCAAACUCCCGAGAGCAGAAAACCUUCACCUACAGCCAUCCAUUCUCUCCUGUUUAGAAGCAGCCUGGCGAUCUGUCUAGACUUAUUUGCUGCCAGAGACCAACACUUCAUUCCACCUCCUGCCGUACAGUUCCAGUCCUGCUGGAUUACUCUCCAACCCAUGCUCAUCUCAUCUGCUGACUCCUCCUGCCUCAGAGCCCAUCAGACCUCCAGCUUCAGACCUGUGUGCAUUCCUACAACAGGCGGACGCUGCUGAGUUGGCCUUCAGGCCCCUGGACACAUCCUGACCCCAGGACACCGCACUAACAGGCCAGUACUUCUGUCCCACCUUGGUAUGCAGGAAGCUGUUCUCCCAGACAUGGUGUUUGGAAACCUGUCUGCCAAAAGAAGAAACUUAGCUGUCUCCCAUUUCUGUCUGUGGUCUGUCUCCUUGAAGACCAUGAGGUACUUCAUACAUUCCUCAGCUUUUGCCUGCUAUUUGUGAAUUAAUGGGGUGAAGCGAUUUCCCUGAACUUAUCAGAAAAUCUAUGUAAGACAGAGAAGAGGAAUGGGAUCUGGUCCAUCAGGUUUACAGGUGCUGACCGGAACAAACAAGUGGUCCAGACCCUGAAUGCUUUAAUAUCCAUCUCUUAAGAAAGAGGUCUUCUCCCCACUAUCCCAUGAAGGCAAUGAUCAUUGCUCAGAAAUUCAGCCUUUCGUCCUGAUCAGAGCCCUCUCCAGCAUCACCUUCACAGCGAAAAAGACACAAACCCAACGGCUCAACACUUGCAAGGCAGAGCAGUGCUGCAGCCCCGUGUGCCCUUCGACUCACUCCCUUUCCCUCGGCCAGGCCUCAAGCAGAGCAGUGAUUGAAGAGAGGUGGAGCCCCAUGACUGAUUCCCCUGAGAACAUAACUCUGGUUUCUCUGACACCCUGAACAAGAGCGAGAUGUCAGGAUCCUUCCUUAGGGCUGCUGCAUGAGAGGGAUGGACCGGUGACACUGAUGCUACAUCACCUCUUCUGAGCACAGGAGCUGAGUUCCACGUUUGGCAGCUCCAGGAUGAACCGGUGGCGUUUCCUUGACUCCAGUGGCGAUCGAUUCCAUUUGGAGCCUGUAGCAACUGACGUCCAGGGGAGCCCAAGUCCCACCCAUCACAUGGCAACAGGAAGCUUUGCGUGAUGCCUGGUGGCACAUCCCUCCAAAAGGAAGUGGGAAGAUUAAAGAAAGACGUUGAGGCCCUGGAAUCUGCCCAGAGAGGGGCAACGAAGCUGUGAACGGGCUGGAGCACAAGUCUUAUGGAGAGAGGCAGAGGGAACUGGUGUUCUUCAGUCUGGAGAAGAGGCUCAGGGGAGACCUCAUUGCUCUCUACAAUGCCCUGAAAGGAGGCUGUGGUGAGAGUGUUCAAUUCUUUCCCCGUCUCCCCCACCAGCCCCAGCCCACGAGCGAGCAGCUCCCGAAAAUGCUGAGGAAAUGGAGCUGAAAGCCUGGGGCAAUGGGGCAGAGAAGGUGAAUCUAAAGAGAUGCAGAAAUGAACCAGACAGGGCCGGGAAAUGUACGGAGAACCCACCCUAGCCUGUAUGUGAGGGAGUGCAUACCACAGCGUAUGAGAUCAACAGCCCCUUUCCGCAGUCUCAGUAGUGCUGAGUCCCAGAAGAGGGUUACAGAUUUACAAGGAAUUCAGAUUUUUACAUUCAGGAUGAAAUCAGCAAAUUUUAGAGCUUGCCGAGAUUGAAGCGACGGUGUUGAGCGAUGCAGCCCCGAGCACGCGGAGCCCAGCACCGCUUUGCUCCCAGUAAUGAGUCCCCCCGGGGGUCACAGCCCCCACUGCAUGGGGCUGCCCAAAGCCCUUUGCCCUGCGAUUCUUCCAGCAAAGACACUGUACAAUCACAGGCAGCUGCACUGAGGAAAAUGUAAAUGCAAUAGAAAACACAGACGUGGAGGAGCAUCUGUUCUCCCCUCCAGGUCAAGCAGUGGUCUUGAAAGAUGAACCGGCAUGGGGAGAGCUCAGAAGGAGUGAGAUGUUUAUAUCCAAAGCCAGAACUGUAUUUCCUAUGGUCCCAUCUGAAAAGCUCCAGCUGCAGACAAAUCUAGGGAGGCAUCAGCUCCUUCUGCAGCAGUGACUGUUGGUACCACCUCACUGAGCUGCCAAUGUCCACCAUGCAAUGUGCCUGCUACAUGAUGCCAGAGAGAAGCACAAUUCAGGGAAGGCUGGCAGGAAGGAGAGAGAAUGUAUAGCAUAGAAGCCUGGAAAGCAGGCCAAGAGGAGGUUAUUCCCAUGAUACAUCUCUGUUCCCCCCUCCCCAUCAUGUCAGCAGCCUCUUCAGCUUCACACAGAGGUUGUGAGGAUUCAUUAGUUAAUGUUUGUAAAGCACUAUAUAGAUGGAGAGAGCUAUGUAAGUGCUAAGUAUUAUUAUUAUUACAGAGAGUCGCUGUUAAGGCAAUGGAUAUGCUCUUAAGUGUCAUUUCAUAUUUAAUUAACGUGCAAUAAUUGUCUUCCAAAACCUGGAGGUACAUCUUUAUUCUUGACACUUCCUUUAAAGAGACACUGCAGCAGAGCUGCUGCUAAUGGGCCUCCUCUCUGGCAUAGGAGGAACAGGAUGAGCUGGGAGCUGGAAGGAGAGGAAAGGGAGGUCAAUGAGGGACUUUCUUCUUCGCAAUUCCACAGACGUGCCAUGGAUCCAUGGUGAGUUUGGGUUUUGAUCACCGAGCUGCCCCAAGGGAUACUGACCUGGUGAGGGGUCUGCAGCCUUCCCCUUAGACUUUCCCCAUGCCCUGCAUCGACUGAGCAGUGCCUGUGGCUUCUGAGUAACUGAACCCAGCUGUAGCUGUGCACCUUGCCUCUGUGAGUAGAAUAAAAGAACUAAAAAGGGAGGAUGGAGAAGCAUGAAAUCACAGUACUGGGAAUUUCCCUUCUAUUUUUCAGGAACAUGUUUGCCAAGAAGUGGUAUUCUCAGAGCUAGGUUACGUAUCUUUUACUGACAGAGGGAAGCAAGGAGAAAUCAGCUGUGGGGCCAUCUGCUCCUCAAGCAAAUGGGAAGGGGAAGCCACCUCUCCCACCUCCCCACGAUGUUUGCAUUUCCGAGUGAGACCAGAGAAGUAAAAAAAGAAGCAGUCCAUCAUUAACUCAGAAAUAACCCGCCUACAGGAGCUGCAGAAGGAUGCUGGGCCCUUCAUGCCUGUCUUUUUUUUUUACCUGAAUGUGUAAUUUCUCACUGGUUCGUUGACAAAUCAGUGCCCUCUAUGGGCCCUUGGCUGGCAUCUCUCUGAGGAGCCCACAGGGUGGGGUUGGGAGGAGCAGGAUGCUCCAAGAGAGCUGCGAUGGUGCCAGUCCCCUUGUCCUCACCAUCUUAAAGAGGCAGCCCCCCUACCAACAUCACUCCCACACACUUGUGUGCCCUUCCUGCCCCUCUCUGAUCACUGAGAUGCUCCUCAUCAGUGCUAAGUGCUCUGAAGGUCACAGGCUACACAGCUCCCAACAUCACUGAGGAUCAGGCUUUGGCCUUGCUGCCACCCCCCUGCUCCCCCCGGGACCCCUGAAGUGACAGAACCUGGCAGCUCGUUCCUCGCUUCCCCCUCCCACCUCCCCCUUCCUUCUCUCACUCUCAUUUAUUUCAAUUUGCUAUGCUUUCUUUCCUGGCUCUCAGCAUUAACUGGGAAGGGGGAGAGGAGGGUGGAGGGAUGGUUUCAUGGUGGAGAGGUGGGGAAAACCUUGUAUGAUGGUGAGUGAGGGUCUGCAGGUCAGAUUGGAGGUUAUGGGGAAAUCAGUCAACUUUUUAGGCUGAUUUUGGGUGUAGCCUCCCAUGAUUCAGGACAUAAUAGAGGUCAGUGAAUUGGCAAAGUGCUGUCAGGACCUCAGGAUGCCCUCAUAGCAACUUGGGCUGCUCUAUUUCAGUGCCAAUUCAUGGGAGCCAGGGCAGUGUGUGCUCAGGUAGAGGUGGCAGUGGGGCAUGGGCUGCAUUGCUGAGUGAAUGGCAUAUCUGUGACAUUCAUCCUCAGUGCAGACAGCGUGAUUUGUGGCUAAAGGGGAUGGGCGUCUGCUACAGCACUGCUCAGCCUCUCUGCUCCUUUUGCCCUUAUCCUUGGGGCCCCAAAAGGCUCCAUUUGCCAGGAAUGCCCUCCACUCACUGCAGCCAUCUGAGCAAACACGGGAUCUGCACUCAUCACCUCCUGCUUCCCUCCCUUUGACUGUGCUGUCACACAUUGCCACACAGCAGUUAUUGUUCCAGGCACUACGGCACUGCACAUAAUCCAGGUGACUUCCAGAGCGAUUCAGCUCUCCAGUCUUUCACAAACCCAAAUCAAUGUACAAGCCCUGCCCAUUAAGACUCAGAUUCCCACACAUGGCUCACGGCGUCUGUAGCACUCCCUUCCCUGAACCAGACUGAUGUGCCACAUUACUGCCAUGUUAACCAAAAGCCCGUUUCAGUGACUUCUUGUCCUGUACAUGUUCUCUGCAGAUCCUCAUGGAGACGGUCUGUGGGGUCUGUUCUCUUUUAUUCCCUACAAAUCCCUCUACAAUGGCUGUAAGACAUUCCCCGGUUAGCCAACUCCUUGUGGGUUUUGUUUGUUCUUUGUACUUAUUCAAGCUGAAGUCUAGAGAGGAAAAGCAGGGCAGAUGUGUUUGAAGGGCAGAGCUAAAAAGAGGACACUUCACGUUAGCAUAUAAAAUCAAAAUGUGAAGCCAUUAGAAAACAUGGCAAACAGGUGACAAAAAAUGUAUAUACUUACUGCCAACACGAGCUCCUGUCUGACAAGCUGAAUUAUAGCAUGCAUUUUUAAUCCAUCUUUGGAGCAGAGAUUCUACCAACCUCUCUCUCUAGAAAUACAUCACACAGGCUUUGGAUAUUGCUGCUGGUUGAUAUUAUCAAUACCCUCUUUUCCCCAAGAGCUUUCUUCAACAGCCAUCACCCCGCACUGCAGGUUGUCCGACAGAAAAUUGGAAUGGUAAUGAAGACUAAGAGAAGAGAGAAAGCAAAAAAGAAUACUUCGUACUCACAUCAUAACAAAUCUUAAGAGAAGGGGAUGGGAGAUAAUGUCACUGCCAGUUCAAAAAGGUGGAUACAAAAAUAUAAUGAAGGUGCCUGUGUUUCAACACGUUGUCCAGAAAGUGCACUAGCAUCUGAAAGUACAAAAAUACUCAGAACAAUCUAGCAUGUUCAGGACGUAAGUGUGUUUCUACCUGUUAAAGGGAAAGGCAAGAGAGAGAAUCCAGUUGCUAUGGAAAUCAGGCCAUCUCCAUGGGAAUUCAGAAAGUAGAGUAUCCUCUUGGCCAGUAAAUCAGGCAGCGAGCAGCCAUUUCUGGACCAUGGCACUGAGCAAUUCUAAGCUGCUCACAGGACAGUUUGUUUCCUCAGCACUGCCGCCCUACCUCAGUAUCAAUGAAAUUGGUGAAAAAAGGGGGUUAUUGGUGAAAUGAAGAAUUUGUUUUGUGGAAUGUAAAGAAGGUUCAGGGGAGAACUGAUAGCAGCCUUUCAGUAGCUAAAGGGGUGGGGAGGGGUAUAAGAAAGAUGGGGACGGAUUCUUUAGCAGGGUCUGUUGUGAUAGGACAAGGGGAUAUGGUUUAAUUACCCCUAAACUGAAAGAGGGGAGAUUUAGAUUGGAUGUAAGGAAAAAAGCUUUGUACGUUAAGGCCAGGGAGGCUCUGACACAGGCUGCCCAGAGAGGUGGUGGUGCCCCAUCCCUGGAGACGGCCAAGGUCAGACUGGGUGGGCUCUGAGCUGUGGGUGUCCCUGUUCAGUGCAGGGGCAGUUGGACCAGAUGGCUUUUAAAGGAUCCUUCCAACUCAAACAAUUCCACAAUUCUCCGAUUCUCCUGCAUGUUUCUGUGGAGGUGUGUCGCGUGUCUUUGCUUUAGCUACAGUUAUUGGGAUAUAGAUUUAUGUCACUGGAAAAAAAGUGGAACUCCUGGUUUUGCUUCUCAGCAAAUGUUUUUUGUUCACAUUAGUUGCUGUACAAUAACAAAGGAUCAGGUAGGUGUGCAUGCAGGAAGUAAAAGGAAACAAAGGCCACAUUAAAGAAUAUAAAAAGAAGGAGCUGAGGUACAAACCCACACCUUGUUCAGGACUCCUCUCUUUGUGUUAAUGGACAAAUAUUCAUGGUGCCAUUGGGGGAUCCAAUUCCCUUGCCAUAGGCAGCAGCCUCCAGCUCUGCUGCUCCUGGGUACCAGUGAUUGCUUAGAGUUUAGGGUCCCACAAAGGCUCCCAAGCACAGUUCUUCCAGUCAGUGCCCCACAGCUAGGUUUACUCUGCUGUCACCUGAUGGAUGAGAUUGAGAAGCUUGGAGACUUUUGAGAUUCUGAUGCUUUGCUACAGAGCUUUCUUCUGUUUCAUCAUUGCAUUUAAUCACUGGUGGGCAACUGGUCCCUAGAGCCCGGGAGGUUGGGUACUGCUGGAGUUGAAAGCUUUGGCAUGAGCGCCAGUGUGCAGACGAUGGAAAGCAGGUGAUGGAUUUACAGUGCUGAAAUCCUUGCUAUGACUGCUAUGCAAACACCAUAUAUUAUAGCUGUAAGUCCUGCAUAAGCCAAGAAGAUUAAAAAACACCUUGUAGAAAAGAGCUCCGGUCGGAUAUGCCUUUGUUCACGAGGACAACUAUGCAGUGGUACUAAUGCAUGGAUGUCAUUUAGUGCUGGGGGAGUUAAUGGGGCUUUAUUUGAAUAUAUCUCAGCUGCGUGAGUAAGGCUCACAGGCAGAAGUGUCUGUCUGGUGUACGUGUGUUGGAGGACACUGUCUGACAUUGAUGGAAAGCUGCUUGAUAGAGUUUCAUCUUUCAAUUCAUUUAGAUUUUUAAAGCUCAGGUUAAGUUGCCCAACUUAAUUUGCAAUCAUUUAAAGUAGGAGUUAAGUGAAGGUCACAGGCUGCUCUAAAUUAGAGGGAAACCGCUGUAGCACUGGCAUGCUUUGACCUUUUCAGUGUUUUCUGACUCUGCUGACCAGCUGAGCUCUUUAUAGCACUGUUAACCUGUGAGAAAUGUGUGAAGUGGUCAUUUCCCACAGUAAAGCAGGAAAUUUUGAAAGGUUAAAGUAGCAGUGAAUAUUCCUGGCAAGAGCAGGUACGGAAUCCCUUGGAACUGAUGAUCUGUGUGUACGUGUAUCUUCCUGCUCUGCAGUGUUUGUGUUAGAAGGGAAGUGAAGAGGAUGCAAAGCAGGGCUGUAGGCAGCUCACCCGAGCUCUGCCUGCAGGUUAUCCCAGAAAUCAGCUUGGUGCAGAGGGUGCUCUCAAACCCACAGGAAUCCGUGCUGUCUCAGAGCUAUAAAAAAAUACUACUACAAAAACUCCAGAAGUAACAUCAAACUCAGGACGUGGGGCUUUCCUAGAUCCCAUAUGCAGAACUUGGGGAAAAGACAGAUAUCAGUGUUCCCCCAUCCCUGGGGCUGUUCAAGGCCAGGUUGGAUGUGGCCCUGGGCAGCCUCAUCUGGUGAGUGGCAACUAGCCCACAGCACGAGCUUGGUCCUUUCCAAUCUAAGCCAUUCUAUGAUUCUGUGACGUACCUGGAGUUAACAGCAGUGAGCCCAGACAGUGUAGUAGAUGGGAUGCGCUAUCACAGUGCUCGAAGAGUAAAAUCCCUAUGCUCCAUGCCCCAUCUUUUUUAUGCACUUGUUUUCUUCCUUCCUGGUGUUUACGAUCCAGCUGCACGUUCUGCAGCUCUCUCUCUUCUGCCUUUAAUGAGGUAAAGUGGAGAAGUCGUAAAACCAGGCCGCCAUCGGUGUAGCAUCCUGGGGCUGCCAUAACGAGAGGCUUCUGGUCCUCACGAUACAACACCUUGGUGGCAGUGUCUAGUCCCACCUUCUUUGUGCAAAGGGCCAACAUAGGACAGCCCCUCUCCUCCAUUUCCUCCUGAUCGCUGGGGUGCAAGGCAGCUGUCAGAUAUUCAUCUGGAUUUUGUGGAUGUCACAGAUAGCCAGAGUGGGGAAAGAAGGAGGCAGUUUGCUCUGAGAAACAAGAGGGGCUUUACAUCAUUGCAGUACACUCUAAAUAUGCAGUAAGGGUCAAAAGUCUCUUCUGUUGCCCUAGGACUCCUGACUGCUGCAGGCUAAGCCACCAACUCUGAGAUCUGUGUAAGAGGGCAGAAGGGAAUAGCUCAUUGUUAAACAUCCACUUUGUCCAAUGCAUUGGUCAGGGGCUGACAGUUUCCAUUCUGGAGCUCUCAGAAAAUAAAGCGGCUCCUGAGCAUCCCUGCAAGGUGUUGUGGGUCACGCCAGCCACCUCCAUCCCCACACAGCUUAGAAGAGCACAGAAAUGCCAUUUGGCUUUCCAGACCACCUUCCAGCACGGCAGGGAAAGGGCUGGCGUUACACAUGCUGAUAGCGAUAGUACAUGAUAUGCAGUCAGCAGUUUGUUGCAAUCAGAGCUUCUGCUGAGCACGUCGAAAGCCUGCCCCUUUCCUGUUAAUUGAAUGUAAGCCCUUUGGUACUUCUCUCCCUUUGAUCUCUCUCAGAAUGAGACGUAAGGCUAUUAAGGCAGAGGAACCAGCGAGCACAAUGCUGGCAGUAAUCUGUGUCAGGAUGAAGGGAUGUUACGCAAGAGACCAGGAAUGAGAUGCAGUGUGAUUUUUUCUCCCUCCUCCCCCCACGUUUUCUCAUCUAAUCCCAAGGGGUUCUUUGUAAUAUUCGCUGGAUGGCAACUACAAACACUGGUGGACACAAGGAGAAAAAACGUCAUGCAACAAACAUGUAAAAAAGCUGGUUUAGCACUGAAACACUGCAUCUCUCCAGCAAAACCUGCCUGCUUGCAGGAGAUACAAAUGACUCCUGGAAUCAAAUGCAUGUUACUGUGUUCAGCAUGCAGCAUUACUGCAGGAUUUAAACACGGCAAAGAGGGAAUUGCUGAUCACACUGAAACCAAAAUGAGAAUAAAUGCAUAAUAAGAAAAAAUAGAUUAGAAGAUAAUUACUUCAUUUUGUACCUGGAGCAAUUACUGUUUGGAUUAGAGAUGACUUGUAGGUGAAAUAGUUAGGUCUGCAAUAGAAGCUGUAGACACAAUGUUAAUAGUUAAAAUGUCAGUGCUAAGCUUCAUUAAAGGAGAAACCCAGCUCUAAACUUGGUUCGGUAUUUUCUUCCAUGAUUGCCACAGUGAGCACUUAUGUAACACGCUGCAUAUUUCAAAGCAAGUUAUAAAAUUAGCUAGGAACUGCACGUAAUGCCUCUUUGCAGAGCUGGAGGUGAGCAUGCAGCACCUUCCAGGUGGUGCUCGGAAUACCGUGAUAUCCCCUGCUUCUGAUUUAGGGAUCUAAAAUUACAAAGCCAAAGAAUCUGAUGCUGGGACCUAUAAAAAUGCCUGUUUUUCAUCCGAGAGGACAUGCAUAGGAGAGAGAGACACAGAGAGAGGACACAGUUAUUAUUUCAUUGCUGCAGUUCACUGGGAUUUUUUCUGAACACCGUUCCUAUGAACCUGGAUGGAGAAAGGCUGAAGGAGAAGAAAACCCGAAACACUUCAGCCUGCUUUUAUUUUCCGGUUAAAAAUGAAAGAAGUUAUGUAGAGCAGUUGAAGUAAACACCUGAAUCUUAAAAGACUGAAAAGGCAUUUGUAGCCGCUGACCAGAGCCGAAGAUAGAAGGAAUAAAACUGGCAAUUGAUACGUGCUGCAAAUCCUCAUGCCGAGUACAAACCUGACCUGUAUUUCAGCAGCUGCAGGCACCUUUCUGAUAUCUUCCCAGCAGUGCUGGGAGGUGCUCAGCCCAACAGCAAAGCCACGCACGCUGCAAGUCCCCAGCCUCCCUUUAGGGGACAGAGCUUCCCAAUGGCUGCUUUGAUUGUCUGUUUUCAAAAUACAAUCACAUGUGGAUAUUAAAAAUAGCACCACGCUGACUUGCUUCCUGUGAAAACAGGUUCCAGUGCUAGGAAACUAAACAUAAUUUUAAACGUUAUCAUCCGACUAAUCGUGUUGCUAUUCCAUUUCAGUCCAUAUAAUUUCUCCGGUAUGAACCUGGGUCACUUUUGCAUAUGUCCAAUCUAUUUUAUAUAUAUACGUUCACUCUAUUUGCACACUCAGAUGGGAGACAUAUGCCUCUUCUCAUUUGGGCAGGCCAUAGUGUUAUUAAAAUGGAAAUGUGCGGGCUUUGGGAUCCAACUGCAACAUAUGUUUAAAAAUGAAAGAUGAUUCUUUAGUUGUAACUACCAGAAGAACUCGGAGCUUUUGACUCCAUGUAUAAUUACCACGAGACCUUAACAGCUUAAUUCACCAGGUAAUUACAUGGUUAUUUUUUGUUCUAUAAAAGGUAAAGAGGUAACAUUUAAUUUACAAGGUGCUGCAUAAUCCUGUAAUUACUCGGUAAUUUCCGUGUCG
ensembl:lncRNA